rnacentral:rRNA from 1 species
CAGCAGCCGCGGGAAUACGGAGGGUGCAAGCGUUAAUCGGAAUUACUGGGCGUAAAGCGCGCGUAGGUGGUUUGUUAAGUUGGAUGUGAAAGCCCCGGGCUCAACCUGGGAACUGCAUCCAAAACUGGCAAGCUAGAGUACGGUAGAGGGUGGUGGAAUUUCCUGUGUAGCGGUGAAAUGCGUAGAUAUAGGAAGGAACACCAGUGGCGAAGGCGACCACCUGGACUGAUACUGACACUGAGGUGCGAAAGCGUGGGGAGCAAACAGGAUUAGAGACCCCUGUAGUCCCUGUCUCUUAUAC